GUCGAACGCUGGCGGCGUGCUUAACACAUGCAAGUCGAACGGAAAGGCCCUGCUUUUGUGGGGUGCUCGAGUGGCGAACGGGUGAGUAACACGUGAGUAACCUUCCCUUUACUUUGGGAUAACUUCAGGAAACUGGUGCUAAUACCUGAUAGGAGCUCCUGCUGCAUGGUGGGGGUUGGAAAGUUUGGGCGGUUGGGGAUGGACUCCCGGCUUAUCAGCUUGUUGGUGGGGUAGUGGCUUACCAAGGCUUUGACGGGUAGCCGGCCUGAGAGGGUGACCGGCCACAUUGGGACUGAGAUACGGCCCAGACUCCUACGGGAGGCAGCAGUGGGGAAUAUUGCACAAUGGGCGGAAGCCUGAUGAAGAAACGCCGCGUGCGGGAUGACGGCCUUCGGGUUGUAAACCGCUUUAGCCUGUGACGAAGCGUGAGUGACGGUAAUGGGUAAAGAAGCACCGGCUAACUACGUG
rnacentral:rRNA from 1 species